GGAUGGUGAACGCGGCUCUGGGCGCAGCGUUGGGCCGCAUCCACGCCUUGGAGCAGCGCACGCUCACCCCGAGCAGUGGGCGGCCGAGAGGGGGGCGGGGACACGCUGAGACACGCCCCCGUGACGUCACUUCCGGUCACCUGCUGCUGGGGGGGGGGUGGGGGCAGAGGAAGGACCCCCCCCCCCAUUUACCCCCAUUGGUCCCUAUGGACUCCCAUUGAUCCCCAUUGAUCCCCAUUGGCCCCCAUUGAUUCCCAUUGAUCCCCAUUGAUUCCCAUUGGCUCCCACUGAUCCCUAUUGGCUCCUAUGGACUUCUAUAGACCCCCAUUGGCCCCCAUUGAUCCCCAUUGAUCCCCAUGGACCCUCAUUGAUCCCUAUUGGCCCCCAUUGAUCCCUAUUGGCCCCUAUGGACUCCUAUAGACCCCCCAUUGGCCCCCAUUGGCCCCCAUAGACUGCUAUAGAUCCCCAUUGGCCCCCAUUGGCCCCCAUUGAUCCCCAUUGAUCCCCAUUGGCCCCCAUUGAUUCCCAUUGGCUCCCAUUAAUCCCUAUUGGCCCCUAUGGACUUCUAUAGAUCCCUAUUGGCCCCCAUUGGCCCCCAUUGAUUCCCAUUGGCUCCCAUUGAUCCCUAUUGGCCCCUAUGGACUCCUAUAGACCCCCAUUGGCCUCCAUGGAUCCCCAUUGACCCCCAUUGGCCCCUGUUGAUCCCCAUUGGCCCCCAUUGGUCCCCAUUGCCCCCCAUUGGCCCCCAUAGAUCCCUAUUGGCCCCCACUGACCCCCAUUGGCCCCCAUGGACUCCUAUAGACCCCCAUUGGCCCCCGUUGACCACCACUGACUUCUAUAGACCCCCAUUGAUCCCCACUGGCCCCCGUUGACCCCCAUUGCCCCCCAUUGGCCACCUUCAAUCCCUAUUGGCCCCCAUUGGCCCCCAUGGACUCCCAUUGAUCCCCAUUGACCCCCAUUGAUCCCCACCGAGCCCCAUUCCCUUCCCCCUAUUACAACCCGCAACCUUUAUUAUCCUUGCCUGGCCUUAAUUAGGCCCGCCCUAAUUAGGAGCCCUUGUUAAAUUACAGCGCCCCGAUUGUGUUAAUUAGGAAGCCCCUUUCGGCCAUUGGGGUCAGUGGGAGGGGCGUGGCCUGGGGGAAGGGGGCGUGGCUACAGGAUGACCACGCCCCUCCCACGGGCCAACCAACUGGCCACGACCCUCACACGUGACCACGCCCCCCGCGUAGCCCCGCCCCCUGACCUUAACCCCACCCCGUGACCCCGCCCCGUUUCUGAGGCCGCGCCCCUUCCGCGUGACCCCGCCCCCUUCCCAGGCCACGCCCCUCCGUGUGACCUCGCCCCUUCCCAUUGGUUUACGGUGGGACUGCGGGGUGGGUGGGGCUUCGGGAGUGGGCGUGGCUUUGACUCGGGGCGUGGCCAAUCAGUGGGGAGGCGCUCUGGGUAUGGGCGGGGCUGUAAGUUGGGCGUGGCCACGUGUGGGCGGGGCUAACCGUAACCCCUCCCGCCAUUGGGUUCUGUGGGGAAGGGGGCGGGGCCUGUGGGCGACCACGCCCCCUCAUUGGGACCACACACGGGGGCUGUCAUUAAAGGGGUAACAGUGUUUAUUAUUGGCUCUUAAUUAGCACUAAUUGGGUGUGGGGGG
rnacentral:lncRNA from 1 species